UGGGGAAUUUUGCACAAUGGGGGAAACCCUGAUGCAGCGACGCCGCGUGAUUUAGAAGGCCUUCAGGUUGUAAAAAUCUUUUUUACGGGAUGAAAAUGACAGUACCGUAAGAAUAAGGUCCGGCUAAAUACGUGCCAGCAGCCGCGGUAAUACGUAUGGACCGAGCGUUGUCCGGAAUCAUUGGGCGUAAAGGGUACGUAGGCGGCCUAGUAAGUUAGAAGUGAAAUAAUAUAGCUCAACUAUAUAAAGCUUUUAAAACUGCUAGGCUUGAGAGAUGGAAGGGAAAGUGGAAUUCCUAGUGUAGCGGUGAAAUGCGCAGAUAUUAGGAAGAAUACCGGUGGCGAAGGCGACUUUCUGGUCAUCAUCUGACGCUGAGGUACGAAAGCGUGGGUAGCAAACAGG
rnacentral:rRNA from 1 species